CAGCCGCCGCGGUAAUACGUAGGGUGCAAGCGUUAAUCGGAAUUACUGGGCGUAAAGCGUGCGCAGGCGGUUAUAUAAGACAGAUGUGAAAUCCCCGGGCUCAACCUGGGAACUGCAUUUGUGACUGUAUAGCUAGAGUACGGCAGAGGGGGAUGGAAUUCCGCGUGUAGCAGUGAAAUGUGUAGAUAUGCGGAGGAACACCGAUGGCGAAGGCAAUCCCCUGGGCCUGUACUGACGCUCAUGCACGAAAGCGUGGGGAGCAAACAGGAUUAGAUACCCCCGUAGUCCCUGUCUCUUAUAC
rnacentral:rRNA from 1 species